AUCAUGUUAUGCCUUACGGAGGGGUAAGGUGUGACAUGUUUUAGCCUGCCUCCCUCUCUUCUGCAAUUGCAUAUCCACCAGUGCCCUCUGCUUCAACAAAGGUGCCAGAAGGGUAAAGGGCAGCACUGGCCAGAAUUAGCCUGCAUUCCAGAAGUGAUAUUCAAUUGUUAUAAAGUUUAGAUAGUGAUAAGGAAGAGGAAGAAUUAAGGUUUUAAAGCUUGUGCUGCUUAAUCCAGAAAUAUUUUACAUGAUCCUGAAUAAUGGCCCUAAAGGGUGGAAAACAGGUUCAGGUCCAGGUAUUUCAUUCUGUGCAACUUAGUUACUAUUUAACUUUCAGAAACUGCACUUACGGAGCAGACAAGGGACACUCUUUUACAAUGGAGUCCAAUCUCUCAUGACAUUAACAGACAUUUUUCCUUGUUUUGUGCAGAGCAAUUGAAAGACUGGCAAAAGGUUAAUUUUAUUUCUACUCAGUUACUAAAGCUUUUGAGUUUUGCUUCUCCAAUCUCUAGGGCCAACAAGCUCAAGGCCUGACCAAAGAAAUUAAAAAUAACAAGUCAUCCUAGCAUCAUCUCUUCUCAUCAAGAUUACCCUAUGAUCGAUCAAAUAGUAUAUCAGGACUCUGGUGAAUUUUAUAUAUUGCUGAAUUCAUAUGAAAUUUCCUGUCAUGCUUUGUUGCAUCAUUGCAAAAUGUAUUGUCAUAUUGGUCGCUUUUGCGGCGGAAGUUUACCCUUUUGCUUCCCUUAAACAAUCAAUGAUCACUGUCAAUGAAAGGAAAA